AGUGAACGCUGGCGGUAUGCCUAACACAUGCAAGUCGAACGGCAGCACAGUAAGAGCUUUCUCUUACUGUUGGCGAGUGGCGGACGAGUGAGGAAUACAUCGGAAUCUACUUUUUCGGGGGGGAUAACGUAGGGAAACUUACGCUAAUACCUCAUACUACCUACGGGUUGAAUCAAAGGAUCUUCAGACCUUUCGCGUUACAAUUAGCCGAUGUCGGAUUAGCUAGUUGGCUGGGUAAAGGCCCACCAAGGCGACGAUCCGUAGCUGGUCUGAGAGGAUGAUCAGCCACACUGGAACUGAGACACGGUCCAGACUCCUACGGGAGGCAGCAGUGGGGAAUAUUGGACAAUGGGCGAAAGCCUGAUCCAGCCAUACCGCGUGGGUGAAGAAGGCCUUCGGGUUGUAAAGCCCCUUUGUUGGGAAAGAAAAGCAGCAGGUUAAUACCCCGAUGUUCUGACGGUACCUAAAGAAUAAGCAACGGCUAACUUCGUG
rnacentral:rRNA from 1 species